ensembl:snRNA U4 U4 spliceosomal RNA
AGCUUUGCGCAGUGUCAGUAUCGUAGCCAAUGAGGUUUAUCCGAGGCGCGAUUAUUGCUAUAAGGCAGAGGAACCAGAGAUCAAAUUGCCAACAUCCGCUGGAUCAUGGAAAAGCAAGAGAGUUCCAGAAAAACAUCUAUUUCUGCUCUAUUGACUAUGCCAAAGCCUUUGACUGUGUGGAUCAGAAUAAACUGUAGAAAAUUCUGAAAGAG